ACAGUGUCGAAGGAACAUGAAUCUUACUAGCAUAAAUUUGACACUUAUGGCAUUUCUUCACAAACUUGCAACACUUACAUUCCAUUGUCAGCCAAUAGUAACCUUCUCUCAACAUAUUAUUUUCCAUAGCAUGUCCAUUGGAAUGAGUACCAAAGGAACCUUCAUGUACUUUAAUCAUCAACAUGUAUGCUUCGUGUCUAUCCAUGCAUCUGAGCAAAACCAUAUCGAAGUUUCUCUUAUAAAGCAC
rnacentral:lncRNA from 1 species